rnacentral:misc_RNA from 1 species
UUAAGAAACCGGGUCGCUACCGGUAAGUCGUCGGACUGAUGUUCCCUGGAGUAUAGUUCCUCCCACAGUUUUACUGUGUUCUGGCUCUUUACUAUCACAGCAGAAACGGCGCACCG